UUCUAAUUUCAAAUACAAUGAAUACGAUCUACAAUACAGUUCUCUCUAAACUGUCUGAGAUCAUAUGAGUCGCACUGUAAACAAACACAGCUGUUCUCAUGUUGGCGCAAAAUUUGUAAAAUUUUGACUUUUGUCAAAUAUUUUUAAUAGUUAACAUUGAAAAUAUGAGUGAGUUGCAAAUGGAAGUAGAUUUGGACGAAAAUGAGGAAAAACCUUAUGUUCGCACGUUGGAAGAUGUCCAAAGCAUCAUUAAACAUGCCAAGUUGGAUGCUAAGAACCUCACACAAGUUACUCAAGCGCUCUACUACCCAUCCGCUACGAUGGACGAUGAUAAUUUAAAACUGCUAGAGUUGGAUACACAUAUGCACCAGCAAAUACGUCUAGGUCAAACGCUAUAUUUUAAAGGUGGACAAAAUGAAAAAAUUGUGCUGUGUACAGAGGAGAAAACCUAUGAUGUGAAAGGCGCUGAAAUCUCCAAUAGCAUACUGUUGGUACCGGAUUUGAAAUUCGCAGCUGCUACCAGCACAUCACCUUUGAAAAGCCCACGCGCCGGCACUUCAUCACUCGAGACAAGUUUGAAUGAUGACGAUGAUGACAUUUCGGUUGAUCGUGCAUUGGAGCAGCGCAAAGUGCUUAAAAUUUUCCACGAAUACUUUGAGUGUCGCGAAAUAAGACCACGCUAUCGCAAGAUAUACGAAUUGUUGCAGUUAACGCGUUAUUCCGGACCCGAAAACGAGGAGUAUAUUGAUCGCAAAUUGCUGUUCACGUACAAUCAACUGUUGGACACAGUGCAAUGUAGCCGCAAGCAGUUCGACGAGGGUUUAACACAUUUUCGCGCUUUAGAAUUCGAGGGGCGCAUGCGUGUACUCGAAUGUGAAUAUGAAAUGCGCAUCGUCAAUUGUAUGCUGGGAUUGUUGAGUGAAAAUUCCUGGGCCUUAGAUGAAGUGGAGUAUGAAGAGACUUUAUCUGCUUUGGAAGGAAUCGCGCCAACAGAAAUCGUAAAAGGACUCUUCCGCCUCUACACAGUGCCGAGUGUGGGCAAGGAAGGGAAACAUACCUACAAAGAGAGUCUCGUUUCACGCAUCAUUGCACAGAAUAUAUUACAACCAGAGCUGAAGUUUCGCAAGGACGAAUUCAUGAGCACUUGGCAAGAGGCAAUGCCGGAGGGCAUGUGUUGUGAUGAAACAUUUUUACGCGGAUUGGGCAUUAUUGAUAGAGAGGGUAACACCACUUGCGUGCGUUCGCUUGUCGAGGAGCUCAUGCCAACGAACAUACAUGAUAGAAUGCGCAUGUUGUUCAAGACCAAAACACGUUGGACGAAGGAAGAAAUGGAACCUUAUAUUGACUUCUGGUGGUGUGACAAGAGCUGGGGCUUCACCAUUGCAUGCAUUUUGUUCCCAAGGCCCAAGCUGGGCUGAUAUGAUUAACUUCAAACAUUCUGAAGGCUUUUUUAAGAAUGGAUCCUUCAUGAGGGCUAGAUCUCCCAUACAUUGUUUAAGGAAUUGAGAGAAAAUUGCUGCUGCCGCGUAUGGGCAUUUUGAAUUUUCAAACACUGUAAAAAUGGGAUACUGACUAUUUCAAGCCUUCAUUUCUUAACGUGUCCGGAAAUAAACUCUCAAAUGGGAUAAUUUUUCGUUUCUUAUCAUAUCGCAAAUUUCCUAAUUUGUUAGCCUUUUUAUUGCAUGGAUCAAUUUACAAUUAACAAUGUCGCUAGUCAAUUAUCACUAAAUAUUUAAAUAUUUCAUACGCCACACUAAGCUACACCCAGUUUUGCCUUCAAUGACUCGGGCAUUUCUGGUGGUGGUGGUCUGGGCAUAUGCAGGUACACCUUGACAGCAUCAUAGAUGAAC